rnacentral:lncRNA from 1 species
UGCUAUCACCCCAAAGAAAAAUGCUAAGAAUCUUCUAAUCAUGUGAUAGAUAAGAAAAAAUAUUAGUUACUUUAAGGCCUAAUUUGAGACUGCUACACUGAAGUAUGUGUCUUGUGCGUAGUGAUUAGUAUCUAUUGGCAAGUCCAGGAUGAAAAACUGGGAGUGCUGAUGCACCUACAAGAACACAUCCAAAUGAUACAGAGAUGGCUUUAUGCAAUUCAUUUAUCUGGAACAGACAUGAAUGGAUCUCUCUUUCUCCUCCUUUUGUAUUAAGGGCUAACUUUGGACUGUACAUGAUGUCAGCUGCUGCUUGUCCUUCCAUGUCUCAGUCUGCUUCUAAAGAAAAGUCGCUGUGGGCCUCUGCCUGCCUGUCACUGUUGGUCCUGCCAGCUCUGACUGUGGCCCUCAAAGGAAGGAAAUGUUAUCACAACAAACGUUUCCAGAAAUCUCAAAAUCAGCAAAAGUGCACAAGGGAGGAAAGAAGAGAGAGAGGAGCUCUGAACUACUCACUGCUGGCCUGGAGACUGUCAAAUCUGCACACUGAACCCAAUGAUCGUUAUUUAUGCUGUGCAGAACACUGUGCCACAGGAGCCAGGUGUGUGAUCUUUCUGGAAAUCAAUGGUGACCUUUUGUAA